AACGCGAAGAACCUUACCAGCCCUUGACAUGUCCCGUAUGGGGCCGAGAGAUCGGCUUCUUCAGUUCGGCUGGCGGGAACACAGGUGCUGCAUGGCUGUCGUCAGCUCGUGUCGUGAGAUGUUGGGUUAAGUCCCGCAACGAGCGCAACCCUCACCUUCAGUUGCCAUCGGGUAAAGCCGGGCACUCUGGAGGAACUGCCGGUGACAAGCCGGAGGAAGGCGGGGAUGACGUCAAGUCCUCAUGGCCUUUAUGGGCUGGGCUACACACGUGCUACAAUGGCGGUGACAGAGGGAGGCAGAGGGGCGACCCCGAGCCAAUCUCGAAAAGCCGUCUCAGUUCGGAUUGUUCUCUGCAACUCGAGAGCAUGAAGCUGGAAUCGCUAGUAAUCGCGGAUCAGCACGCCGCGGUGAAUACGUUCCCGGGCCUUGUACACACCGUAGUAC
rnacentral:rRNA from 1 species